UCGACGAGCCUCAAAUUCAAC
rnacentral:siRNA from 1 species